rnacentral:misc_RNA from 1 species
GCUCUGCGACCGCUUCGAGCGACGCCACUCUCCUUCACGGCCAGAUCUGAGACGGCGACACGAUUCCGACAGCGAGCUUCGAUCCACGAGCAUCGUUUUCCAGCAGGUUAUACUCUUGAUCAUCAGAAAAUUGGGUAUAUUCUGCACAAAAUCCUGUGCCUUGUAGAACUCACUAAACAAUGGCUGACUACCACUUCGUGUACAAGGAUGUUGAGGGAGCCUCCACUCAGUGGGAUGACAUUCAGAGUAAGCUGGGAAACCUACCUCCAAAGCCUGCUCCAUUCAAGCCACCAGCCUUCACACCUGCCCAGGAUGAGGCAUCCGUCCCUAAAGACAAGUCUUGGAUUGACCAGAAGAAUGAAGAGGAGCUUGAAGACCUUGAGGAUGAUCUAGAUCUUGAUGAUGACAACUUCCUCCAAGAGUAUAGGAAAAAGAGGUUGGUGGAGAUUAGAGAAGCAGCUAAAAUCUCUAAAUUUGGAUCAGUAAAUCCGAUAUCAGGGUCGGAUUUUGUGCGAGAGGUUUCACAGGCUCCAUCUGAUGUUUGGGUUGUCGUUAUUCUCUACAAAGAAGGAAUUCAAGAAUGCGAUGUGUUGAUGAAUUGUUUGCAAGAACUUGCUGCGAGAUAUCCAGCCACAAAAUUUGUUAAAAUAAUCUCCACAGAUUGCAUUCCCAACUACCCAGAUUGUAAUCUUCCUACUUUGUUAGUUUACAACAAUGGUGCAGUGAAAGCAAAUUACGUGGGCCUUCGAAGUUUUGGCAGAAGAUGCACGCCAGAAGGUGUAGCAUUAGUUCUUUGUCAAGCAGAUCCAGUGCUUAAUGAUGGUCAGUCAGGAAAUGAUGAUGGAUCGAGAAAAUCCGUGCUUGAAGGCGUACGCAGAAAGAUAAUCGAGAAAGUGGUGAGAGAUCAUGAAGAUGAGAAUGACG